ACUCGAGUAGCUUAAUGGAUAAAGCCAGCUGCUCAUAACAGCUUCGAUAUCUGUUCGAUUCAGAUCUCGAGUACCA
rnacentral:tRNA from 2 species